GAUGCUCCGGUUGACCCUGAGCUGAUCUGAAACAUCAAAGGGAACCGCUCUGAUCAGAGGAAUUCGUUUCGUUCGCUAUGACUAUAAUGGCUGGAUACUCGCCGAGACUCGACGUCUCAAGGAUAGAAUACCGUAGCUGCAGCCAUCCGUUAUUUCCUCUGGAUCAACGAGCCUUGAUAUUAUAUGCGAGAGAUCGCGGUCGAACCGGUUUUGAUGACGUUGCGGUUCGAUCGUUCGUACGAUUUAAUGGUGUCAAAGUCAUCGUAUAAGCGAUCGUCCGGUUGAUCCGGUGGCGGUGAUCUUGAUUACGGACGAUCAAUUAUAGAAGAGACUGGUUUCGCGGAAUAUACACGGAUUACGAGCGUAGCGCGGCGGAUUUUCAAAACUCUCUACAAAUGUCGCUGUUGCGGCUGCCGCCGCCGCCGCCGCCGAUGAUGAUGAUGAUAUACGACGCGAGACGAGGGAAUCGCGUCCUCGAGGACGACCGAGGAAGAAGUCGUCUUCGCCUAUCGUCGAUGCCACGGGGAACGUCACGGAACCACCGAAGGACGAUUUCCCGCUUUACGUUUAGAGGUCGAAGCGUAACGCAGCGUCGCUACCAGUUGCACGCGCAGCUGCUGCGAACAGAUUCUUGCGCACCGUCCGAUCGCGUCGGUUUCGCCAACGAUACAUCGCGAGCGAUACCUACGCGUGUCGUGUGCGAGUGGGCAGGAAUGUGGUUGUAUGUAGCCCGAAGUAACCUACACGAGAAAGCAGAUGCUUAGACUCGAUACGUCGUUCCGCCCUACCACGAGUACGUGAACGUAGGUACGCACAUAUAUACAUACCACACCGUUCCAUAACGAUCGAUCUUUACACUUCAUCCGACGCCUGUAUGUAUAAUAUUUUUAGAUGCCACUUGCCGUUCCGUGCUGCUGCUGCUGCCGCUCCGGCGAGAAAUUCUCUUUUUUACUUUGUUUCUUUUUCUUUUUUUUUUUCAUCCAGGUAAAAAAUAAAGAUAAAAAUGAAACGGUAGUAACUUGUCAACGUAUAACGCACACGCUCAACCGACGGCUUAGAAACGACCGACUCAACUCCGGUGUACGUACGUAGCGUAAUAUAAUUUCACUUCGUGCGUCGGAAUAUCAUCCCGACUCUCUACGGUGUUACAGAUAUACUUUGCGCC